rnacentral:rRNA from 1 species
UACGGAGGGUGCAAGCGUUAAUCGGAAUUACUGGGCGUAAAGCGCACGCAGGCGGUUUAUUGAGUCAGAUGUGAAAUCCCCGGGCUUAACCCGGGAAUUGCAUCUGAUACUGGUCAGCUAGAGUACUGUAGAGGGGGGGAGAAUUCCCGGUGUAGCGGUGAAAUGCGUAGAGAUGUGGAGGAAUACCGGUGGCGAAGGCGGCCGCCUGGACAAAGACUGACGCUCAGGGACGAAAGCGUGGGGAGCAAACAGG